AGCUCCUGUUUUCUCAGCACCUCAGCAGGACAAGAAAGACAGAGCCUGCCAGAACCAAGGAGAGACUAGACCCGGCCCUCGUCUCCCAGCCCUGCGUCUGGUGUGUGUUUUCUCAACACCUCAGUGGAACAAGAAAGGACCUAGCCUGCCAGAACCAAGGACACUGGGCUACACUCUGAGAAGUUCCUGAAUCUCUCCUGGAUGCUAACCAUCAUGUGACCAGAGAAAUUGGUAACGUUGUUUUGCCUGUUGAGAUGUUUAAUGACACAGAUCCUUUCAGUUUCCUGAUGUGG
rnacentral:lncRNA from 1 species